rnacentral:rRNA from 1 species
UACAGAGGUCUCAAGCGUUGUUCGGAUUCAUUGGGCGUAAAGGGUGCGUAGGCGGCGCGGUAAGUCGGGUGUGAAAUCUCGGAGCUUAACUCCGAAACUGCAUUCGAUACUGCCGUGCUCGAGGACUGGAGAGGAGACUGGAAUUUACGGUGUAGCGGUGAAAUGCGUAGAUAUCGUAAGGAAGACCAGUGGCGAAGGCGGGUCUCUGGACAGUUCCUGACGCUGAGGCACGAAGGUCAGGGGAGCAAACAGG